GACGAACGCUUGCGGCGUGCCUAAGCUAUGCAAGUCGAGCGGGGUUUGGUUUGAGUCUUCGGACGAUUUCCAAACCUAGCGGCGAACGGGUGAGUAACACGUGAGCAACCUGCCUCGCUGUCCGGGAUAACAGACCGAAAGGGCUGCUAAUACCGGAUAUGAAGCGCCCCCGCCUGAGGGCGCUUGGAAAGGGGUAACCCACAGCGAGAGGGGCUCGCGGCCUAUCAGCUAGUUGGUGAGGUAACGGCCCACCAAGGCGACGACGGGUAGCCGACCUGAGAGGGUGACCGGCCACACUGGGACUGAGACACGGCCCAGACUCCUACGGGAGGCAGCAAGCGGGAAUAUUGCACAAUGGGCGAAAGCCUGAUGCAGCGACGCCGCGUGAGGGACGAAGGCCUUCGGGUCGUAAACCUCUGUUGGUAGGGACGAUAAUGACGGUACCUACUGAGGAAGCUCCGGCUAACUCCGUGCCAGCCGCCGCCGUAA
rnacentral:rRNA from 1 species